rnacentral:tRNA from 1 species
GGGUCGUUAGCUCAGUUGGUAGAGCAGUUGACUUUUAAUCAAUUGGUCGCAGGUACGACCCACCA